UUCCCUUUCCAUCUCUUUCUCUCACUUUUUUUUUCUUUUUUUAUACGACCGUUGGCGAAAAUCAAUUACCGAAAAUUCGCUAACUAACUAUACGUAUAUAUACAAUAUUAUAACGUUUAAUUAUUACAAUACUCCGCCGCGGCGACAAAAUAAUAAUAAGCACGCUACGGGUUGGGCCGAUUGUGUCUUUUUUGGCAGUGUGACAACGUUGUUAUUGUUUUGGUUUUUUUUUUUUCUGUCGGUUAUUGCCAAUAUUAUAAUAACGCGCGGACCAAAUCGUACAACGAAACGGAGAGGAAUAAAAAUCCAAACACAAAUACACGUACCCAUAUU